AUCUGAAAAAAAAAAUCACACAAAUUACAUGAUGUAGGAAAAAGAAAUUAGGAUCACUAAAAUGAACUGAGUGCAAAAAGUCUUUGCAGAGGCCUUUAUUGUGACUUAAAUGGUAUUCCUCUCCUGUACCACCACUCCCAAAAAUCUCUGCCAAAACACCUGAAAUACAUUAAGAUUGGAUGGAGAUAUAUGAAGCAAAAAUUACCCAGAAGAGUAACAUAAACUCUUUCAACAGUACAACUGAGACAGGGACCCUGUCAAAUACAGACACAGUGGAAGAGAAGAAAGGAACAGAGUUGGAUGGAGUGGGAGUGAGGAUAAACUGCCGAUCAGAGCUGCUGAAAAGAGCCUAUGACUCAGCAAAACUUUUGAACACCUUGAAAAGUCAGGAAAACCGAUACCCACCCAGAGAUGACAGAAUUUACCCCACUAAGGAUUUGACAGUGAAGGGACUUAAGGUUUUUUUUUUUUAAUCCACUGGCUAUUUUUUUUUUUUUUUUUUUUGCGGGGGAGAGGGAGGGGGAACCAAGUCUUAUGCUGUCACCCAGGCUGGAAUGCAGUGGUGAGAGCUCAGCUCACUGCAAGCUCUCCCUCCCAGGUUCAAGUGAUUCUCCUGCCUCAGCCUCCUGAGUAGCUGGGACUAAAGGUGCCUGCCAUCCUGCCUGGCUAAUUUUUUGUAUUUCUAGUAGAGACAGUGUUUCACCAUGUUAACCAUCUGGUCUCAAACUCCUGAACUCAGGUGAUCCACCCGCCUCGGCCUCCCAAAGUGCUGGAAUUACAGGUUUGAGCCACUCUGACCAGCUGCUCAGGUUUUCUUAACACCAUUUUCUUACAAAAUUCUUUGCCUUUACACAUGUAAAGACUGAACUUUUGCUUCAGUACUUUCCUUUUUUUUUGUCUUUUUGAGACGGAGUUUAACUCUUGUUACCCAGGUUGGAGUGCAAUGGCGCGAUCUUGGCUCACCACAACCUCCGCCUCCUUGGUUCAGGCAAUUCUCCUGUCUCAGCCUCCUGAGUAGCUGGGAUUACAGGCACGCACCACCAUGCCCAGCUAAGUUUUUGUAUUUUUAGUAGAGACGGGGUUUCACCAUGUUGACCAGGAUGGUCUCGAUCUCUUGACCUCGUGAUCCACCCGCCUUGGCCUCCCAAAGUGCUGGGAUUACAGGCUUGAGCCACCGCGCCCGGCCUACUUUCAUUUUUAUACUUGUAGCUCCUUUUCAAGCUGAAAACCUUGGUUCCUGAUUUCAUUUACACAUUUAAUGUACAGUAUAUACUGUUUCAAAAUAAUGCUAAUAUAUUUAACAUAAAACUGAAAGAUAUUUAAGUUUACUUUAUGUUCUUUCUGUCAUCAAGGUAAAUUUACGAGAGUGGUCUCAAUACUGUGUUCGAAAACCACAUUAAAACUAUGGGCUGGGCAUGGUGGUUCACACCUGUAAUCCUAGUACUUUGGGAGGCUAAGGAGGGCAGAUCACUUGAGGUCAGGAAUUUUGAGAUCAGCCUGGCCAAAGCGGCAAAACCCAUCUCUACUAAAAAUAUAAAAAUUAGCUGGGCGUGGUGGCAGACGCCUGUAAUUGCAGCUACUCAAGAGGCUGAGGCAGGAGAAUCACUUGAGCCCAGGAGGUGGAGGUUCCAGUGAGCUGAGAUCGUACCACUGCACUCCAGCCUCGGUGACAAAGCGAGACUCCAUCUCAAAAAAAAAAAACAAAAAAAACUAAAACAAGGUACCUUCAGAAGGGUCUAAUCUAACCCUGUUCAAUCCUUGUUCCCAAUCCUUCCUAUAUAAGUAACCAUGUGCAAUCCAUUUUUAAAACAUAUGUAUAUGUACAACACAGUACAUAUUCAUUCUACAUAACAGCAUACUAGCCACACUACUUUGCACCUUGAUGUAUUUAUUCUCCCCACAGUACUCCACUGUAUAGAUGUAUUGAUAGACAUCUGUGUAGUUUCCAAUCUUUGCCUUUUACAAACAGUGCUGUACCAACACAAACCAAGGAAAAAAACACACCCAAAAUACAAAUAGUGCUACAACGAAGUCUUGUGCAUGUGUCACUUUUGUUUUGGGGAGAUUUCAGAAGUAUAAUUCCUAAAGCAGCAUAAUCUCGCUAUAGUGCCAACUUACUUCCACAGGAAUUCUACAAUUUUCAUUCCUGCUAGCAAUGUUUAUGAGAAUGCCUUUUCCCCCUACAGCUUAACAGUGUAUGUUGUCAAACUCGUGGAUUUUUGCCAGUCUCUAGGUAAGCAAUAGUACAAUACAUCAGAUGGAGAAUCUUUUGUUCAUGUUUGAGCCAUUUGCUUUUCUUUUUCCUGUGAGCUAUUCAUAUAUUUUGCCCAUUUUUCUAUUAGGUUGUCCGUAAGAUUUCAUAGAUGUGGAAUAUCAACACUUCAUCAAUUUCUCCCUUGACUCCCGGAUAGUGAAGUUUUCUCAGUUCUAUCAAGGAAUUUGCCUACAUUGUCUUUGAAGAGAUGGGGUCCUGCUGGUCUCAAGCUCCUGGGCUCAAAUAACCCUCCUACAUCGACUUCCAAAAUAGCUAGGACUCCAGAGACACUGGCAGCCGCUGCGUAACUCCCCCACUUUGGGGAUCUGAGUUCUGACUCUGAAAGAUGGAGGUUCUGAGAAACUCAACUUACCUUUCUUCGGUCCUAGAGAGGGAACCAUGCUUUCUGCAGAUACUGUUACCUGUGACUGCCCUUUUGCUCUUUUUGAGAUAUAUUUCACAAUAUAAAAUUCACCCAUCUGUGGUUC